rnacentral:lncRNA from 1 species
GCCACCAUGUGAAGUCGAUGUUUUUGUUGUCUUUCCAAAUUUUAUUCUAAUCAUAAUGAUAAGAGCCAGAUUAGGAUCUUACUUUAUAUAGUUUUACAUGUCACUUUUUAAAAACUUUAAUAUAUGUCAUGAGCAUUUCCCCAUUAACCAUACUUCAGAAGCACCUUUUCCAGUAGUGGUAUAAAAUUUCAUCGUUUGGCCAUUCCAAUGUCCAAUAUCCAAAAUGUCCAUACUCUCUAGAAAGGCAUUUUCAGCUUUCUACCAUUGUAACACAAUGACAAAGUGACAGGGAAGAACACUAUGGGCUUUGGUGUCCUGGAGAAGUGUAUUUAAAUUCCAGCUUUAUCAUUCUCUAGUUAGGUGCUCUUAGGUAAACAAGAUAACCUCUGAGUCCCAGUUCCUCAUUCUAAAGUGGGGAACUAAUAAGUCCCUUACAGAUUUGGACAUGCUGAGUUUGAAGUGAUUGUGCGAUAUCCAAGUAUAUACAGAUGGAGGGAGAGUUCUAGACUGAAAGUGUAGAUUUAAAAAAAAAAAAUCUAUUUUUCAGAGGACAUUUGAAGUCUUAGAAGGAGAUGAAAUCAGCCAGGAAGAGAGAGUAGAGAGAAAGGCAGGGAGCGAAGGAUUCGAAGUGAGCUGGGCCCACCAAUAUUUAGUGGGAGGGGGAGGGAAAGUGCAAAAGCCACGUGAUGAAGAAGAGAUGGUAGAGGGAUGAAACGAGAAGCAUGGAAAUAGUGUGGAGAAGCGGAGGGAAAUGUUUGCAGAAGAGAACAGAGACAGAGUGGUCAGAGAGGUAUAGUAAAAAGAAGAGACGGUUGGGGGUCAAGAAUGGAGGAAGGAGAGAUGCUGUCCAGUGCAGCAGUGAGGGGCACUAAGGCAAACACUGAAAACAACCAUUUGACUGGGUGACUAGGAGGCCUUUUGUCUCCUCGGCUGGAACAGUUUCCAUGCAGUGGAGGGUCAGAAGCUACAGAAGGAUGCACAAGAAUUGUGGAGUGUACUUUUAAAAGGUUUGUAUAAACAAGGAAGGAGAGGGGUGAAGAGAGAAGCUGGAGGGAAUCAAGGGAGGUUUUUUCUUUUUAAAUAUGUAAGAGACUUGAACAAGGCUGAGGGAAAGAAGAUGGUCAAGAGGGAGAAGAUACAGGCACAGGAAAGAAGGGGAGUCCAGUCAUUUGGGCAUUUCUUCAUUGAUUUAUUUGUUCAACAAAUGAGAAUAAAGUGCCUCCUAUGCGCAAAGAGCCAUUCCAUGGAUACAGCAAUGGUCAGGCAGUUUAGGUUGCUGCUUUCAUUGGGGGGGGUAUGUUAUACUUGGAGAAAAAGACAGUAAACCAUGAUGACAACACAAUAACACCAUCACGAGCAUAACUCAGGGAGCAAAUAUUUGAGAAUAAAAACUGUAUACCGAGCAUCAAAAUAGAUUCACUGUUUUGUAACGAGUGGUUACUUUGGAUCAGAUGUUCAGGAGUGGGCUAAGGAGGCAAUAUUGAAUCUGAGGCUCAUAUGACAAGAAGGAGACAGUUAUGCAAAGAUCAGCAGGAAGAGAUUUCAAGUCCGAGGAAGGGAUAGUGCAAUGGAUGAGCUCGGCAUGUCUGGCGCAACAAGAAGGUUGGAGUAACAGAGAUGGGGAAGAGUUGGAGAUGUGCUCAGAAAGGAAGGCUGAGGCUAGAUACUGAAGGACACUGGAGGCCACGGUUUUAUUCUAGGUGGGAUUAGAAGCCACCCACCGCAAGACAGUAAUAUGAUUACAUUUAUGUUUCAAAAGGAUCAUUCUGGCUGCUGUUAAAAUAUAAUUUAGUGGGGAGGAGCAGAAGAUGGGAACAGGUUAAGAAGUUAUAGCCAGAGUCAAAACAAGAGAUGGGGUGGCUUGGACUACAGUGGAGAUGACAAGAAAUGGAUGGAAUGAGGCCAUAUUUUGGAACAGAGCCAAAGGACAUGCUGAUGGAAUGGACAUGGAGAGGUGGUGUGUGAGGAAAUGAGGAACCAAUAAAGGCUCUUUGCUGGAGGACUUGAGUGGAUGGUGGGUUAUUUUAUUGAGGUGGAGAAGAGUAGGGUGUAUGUCUAACCAAGUCAAUUUACCUCAAUAAAGCUGAAAUAAAAAAAAAGAGUUCUGCCCUGGACGUGAUAAGAGGAUGACUGGUGGAGAGAUUAGUUGAAGGAAUAUUUCUUACCUACCUUAUCUCUAGCUUUUUAAUUACAGUUGUUUUCCCAAGGCUCCAAGGUACUGAAAGCAUGUAAAAGCCAUUUGGAGUAUCUACUUUUUGGCCUCGCCCACUGUUUCCUGUGCUCCUUUGUCCAUCCUUCUGCUCCCUGGUUCCAUACGCUGGCUUCUGACCCCGGUUCUGGAAAAUCACGUGUCCUUUCUCUAAUUUGUUACUCAGGUCCCCAUCUGAAUCUCUGCUCUGCAUACUUCCUUGAUCUCAUCAUUGGCUUCAACUUCAACAUCUUCCAUCAGCUUUGCCCUGGAGGCAGCCAGCUGCCAUGUUGUGAGCUGCCCUAUGUAGAGGCCCCCAUGGCAGAGAACUGAGGUCUCCAGACAACGUCCAGCAGACCUGAGGCUGCCAUAGUGACAAUCCUCCUUCAAAUAUCUGGCGACCUUUGGCUGGCUAUUCACAUUCAAGAAUGAGGCUCUAAAUAGCUGAAUGAAGUUUCUGUGCAUGAAGCUGGAUCUUGUUGACUGCUGGGCUUCCCAGUAGAUAAGAGUGGAACCCUUUAUUUACUGGGGAACCCCAAGGGUAAUAUUAAAAAUAUUUAACAAUUGAUAUGGCAUGGGCAUCAUUCAAUCAGAGAAGGUGUGCAGACACUCAGGAUGCACUGGCCAUACACAACUCAUUCAAGAAUACUGUGCGUACAGACUGGAUUCAACCUCAUCAGAGGGUCUUUCUCUUGGAUGGAAUGGUUUCCUCAGAGAGUACUUCUCCAGUGUGCUGUCCAGAGUGAGAUGGAGAUAGUAAUCCUGCUGCCAGGGUUGGAGAGGUCCCAGAGUUCUUUAUGUAGACUGUCAUUUAAUCCAUCAGCUGUGCUUCAUGUCCCUCGGGCGCAGAGCUUCUAGGAUUCAGUUUCUUUGCAAUCUGUCACGCUCCUGUCUUCUGCAGAUCUGUUGGAGGCACAUACCUAGCUGUUGGUAGAGGGAGGACAUUUGGGAGUCUGAUUGCUUCUUAUUCAGACUUUCUUCUAAGAUUCCUUUCUUCAUGUCCACCCUCCACCCUCACCUUCAGAGAUACUGGGAACCUCCAAGUCCUAAAGCAUUCUGGGUUUCUUCUGCACAAAUUGUCUUGUUUCCUAUGAACAUCCCUCUGUUCAGGCAUAAAGUUUAUCCUUCUCUGAUCUAUUAAAUCAGUCACCACAUAUCCAACUGUUUUCUCUCCCCUCUUCUCCUUUUUUUCACACAGCUCUUUUGCCAUCACUUUGUCUCCAAUUCUCUUUGCUAUUAUUAGUUUAAAGUGUAUGUGUGUGAAUUUCCUUUUAAGUUUUUAGUAGCAUUUCAGAAGGAAAUAGAAUAUGUGUAUUUAAUCUACUGUGUUUAAC